GGGCCCGUAGCUCAGCCAGGCAGAGCGGCGGGCUCCAGACGUACUACGGGUCUGGUAGAGCCGAAAGGCGAUGAUCGUCGUCUGGAGCGUUAAGACCCGGGAGGAGAGACCCGUAGGUCGGGGGUUCAAAUCCCCCCGGGCCCA
rnacentral:tRNA from 1 species